rnacentral:lncRNA from 1 species
ACUUCGAAUGAAACAAUAACCCGAGUACCGGACCUGUAUUCCCUAUGUCGUUUCGGGUUACCUUCACUUCGGAUUUCCGGUCUAAUGAAAAAAAGUGCAGGGAGGGGAAAUCGUGAGCCGUUCUGCACUUGUACAUCAGCAAUUCCAUCUUUCGUCUGCUGAUGAUAUCCUAUCCAAUUCAGCAUAUGACCGCAAUUCAUCCCUCAAUCAUAUGAAUACAGGAUCGCAAUUGAUUUUAACAGUGCCGCAAAAGAAAAUCCUGGAUCAGCGUGCUGUGUAAAGUAGAUGUGUCAUGUGCGUCAUAAAGGGCACUCAUCAUCUUCAAGCUCGUAUAUCAUUUCUUCACAAACUGUUGUUGACACGUAAUUCGCUCUUUAGUGCUUAAUUCUCUCCAUCAACUUCAAGCUCGUAUGUCAUUUCAGUCAAAUUCUACAUGCUUUAACGGGUGAUUUUAUAGUUUACAUUACAAGCAUGUUCUUAAACCAUUUGGCCAAGUAAUUGUAUUUUUAACAAACAGUGCGUUUAGUGGGCUUUUGGAAGUCCUUGUAAUGUUUUAAACAUGUUUUUU